ensembl:lncRNA
AAGUGCUUCUCGAAGCUCUCCAGAAUUCACUCUUAGAAUCCAGUAUUUUGUCCUGAGUUUUGCAAUAAGUUGAUUUCUUCCACAAUGAGCCAUCGAGGUGUGGGUGUGGUGUAGGAGUAUCUUUGACAGGUGGUUGUCCUUGGGUAGAAUAGCAGGAUGUUUGGUUUCCUCUGGCAUUGCCAGUUUACUUAGUCUGCCUCCGACUCUCAGGAUUCCAUGUUGGAGGAUAGGAUCUAGUCUAUAGAUCCUACUGUUUCUCUUUAUGGGUAAGCCCCUUUGUAGAGAGGUCACCUCAUCUUUGAAGGAUUGCUGUUGGACAUAAGACACAAGUGAUUGCUCUGCCUUGGCUAAAUCCUCCACGGACAGCUGCGACCCGGUUGGGUAGGUGUUACUAGUUUUCUUUCGUCUCAGAGUUUCUUUGAAUUUUAAGAUCCAGGCUGAUGAUCGGAUCAAUUUGUUCCAUGAUGAGAAGUGCUCAAUAAAACGAGUCAGUGGCCUUUCAUUCUGCAGUAUACUUGUAGUGAAAGCCAUGGCCACCUUCUUGACCUCCGGGUCACUGUCAUACAGCGUGGGUGGUACUUGAAUCACUGGCCAGUCAGUUUCUGGUUGCAUCAGGAAAUUUGGACCACUCAGCCAAUGUCCUUCUUGAAUGAACUUCUCGGUUUUUAUGCCUCUUGAUGCCAUGUCUGCGGGGUUGAGUUCUGUCUUUAUGUGGCGCCAUUGGAAUUUGUGCGUCAGAUCCUGAAUAGUGGACACUCUGUUGGCUACAUAGGUUUGAAACCUUCUGGCGUCAUUUUGGAUGUAUUUUAAGACAGCGGUACUGUCGGUCCAAAAGACUGAGUCCUCAAGGGUUAACUCGAGCUCUCUCCUCAACAUCCUGUCUAUCCUAGCAGCGAGAACUGCACUAGCAAGCUCCAGACGUGGAGUUGUCACCACCUUUAAGGGUGCAACUCUUGAUUUCCCAAUCACAAACAUUAUGUUAGGUAGUCCAAUUUUACUGCUAAGUUUCAAGUAGCUGACUGCCCCGUAACCUCGCUCACUUGCGUCGCAGAAGUGGUGCAUCUGUGCUCUAGCAACUUCAAAAUCUUGUGGCUUAAGGCAUCUCCUGAUUCUUAGGCUGGAAAUCAGGUUAAGAUCUUUUAGCCAUUCCGUCCAUCUCUCUGUGUAAGCAGUUGGUAUUGUUUCAUCCCAUC